rnacentral:ncRNA from 1 species
GUAGGAUGUUAGAUUUUCUUAAUGCUCUGUACGUUUCCCAGCAGCUCGGCAACAGGACGUUGCCGAGAGCGAGAUCUGAGCCAUGGAUGGCGAAUAUAGAGCGGUUGCGUCAAGUUACUACCACAUAAACCAGAGCAUUUAGAAAAUCUUACUUCCGGA